GUAUUAGGUUGGAACAAAAGUAAUUGUGGUUUUUGCCCUUACUUUUAAUGGUAAAAACUGCAAUUACUUUUUCAGUAACCUAAUAAUUA
rnacentral:miRNA from 1 species